rnacentral:rRNA from 1 species
UACGUAGGGGGCAAGCGUUGUCCGGAAUUAUUGGGCGUAAAGAGCGUGUAGGCGGUCCGGUAAGUCAGCUGUGAAAGUCAAGGGCUCAACCCUUGAAUGCCGGUUGAUACUGUCGGGCUAGAGUCCGGAAGAGGCGAGUGGAAUUCCCGGUGUAGCGGUGAAAUGCGCAGAUAUCGGGAGGAACACCAAUGGCGAAGGCAGGUCUCUGGACAUUAACUGACGCUGAGGAGCGAAAGCAUGGGGAGCGAACAGG